rnacentral:rRNA from 1 species
GAUGAACGCUGGCGGCGUGCCUAAUACAUGCAAGUCGAGCGAACAGACGAGGAGCUUGCUCCUCUGACGUUAGCGGCGGACGGGUGAGUAACACGUGUAUAACCCACCUAUAAGACUGGGAUAACUUCGGGAAACCGGAGCUAAUACCGGAUAAUAUAUUGAACCGUAUGGUUCAAUAGUGAAAGACGGUGUUUCUGUCAGUUCUCGAUGGAUCCGCGCCUUAUUAGCUAGUUGGUAAGGUAACGGCUUAUCAAGGCGACGAUGCGUAGCCGAACUGAGAGGGUGGUCGGCCACACUGGAACUGAGACGCGGUCCAGGCUCCUAAGGGAGGCAGCAGUAGGGUAUCGUCCGCAGUGGGCGGAAGCAUGACGGAGCGGCGCCGCGUGAGUGAUGACGGUCUUCGGAGCGUGAAACUCUGUUAUGAGUGAAGAACAGAUGUGUAAGUUACUAUGCACGUCUUGACGGUACCUAAUCAGAAAGCAACGGCUAACUACGUG